UGUGUAUUGUCAUAGCCUCUCAUAAUUUUGGUUUAUGUGUCUUGGCCUGUGAUGAUAUGAAUCUUUGGAUAUUUCUUUAAAACUUUGAUAGUCUUGUAGUAAUUGUUUUACUUGAAUUUAGGUUGUUCCACAUUAGUUAACCAAAGCUACCUACCAGAGCAGAGGAAGGAUAUCUUUAGCAACAAAAAAGAGUGUCGAUUUUGAAUUAGUAGAUUUACUGUCCUUACUUAAAAGUAAGUUUUCUUGGUUAUGGUUGAUGCCAACUUGGACCAUGGAUUCUAAAUUUCUGAAACAAACUAACAGUCUUCUUCGAUGAUUUUGAUACCUAAUAUAUAGUUUGGGUUGCUUUGCUCAAAAGUUCAGCCUGUCGAAGUGGCCUCGGUCUUAGGAGGGUCCCACAUUUUUUCAAUCAAAAUGCGGGUAGAAGGGUGGGGAAGGUGCCACGGUGUCCUGUUUCGUACGCCUCGGGGCGGGGGACAGGAGGGUCGGUUUUCCCGUUCCUACAAUUCUAACGGCGCCUAUGCAUUGACCCGUCUUUGUCUCUCGUAAAUUCAUGGUGCCGAUGGGGGUCCCACAUGUCGCUUUCACAAACGGGAGGACGGUCUCCGCGCACCACCGUCAUCGACGAAAGCGUCCGAUUGGAAGUGACAAGGAGGUCCCCAGGUCGGGUCCCACAUGGCGAGACCGGCGCAGCACCGGCGAGUAGGAAGAGGUUGAUUGCUCGGUUCCAAAUCCCGAUCUCUUCCGCCCGUGCAGCGCCUCUUUUUCUUCCUCUUAAAUGCUCGCUCUCCCUAUUAUUUCCCGCCCACGGAGCCCACCUUUUUUUCCCCCUCUCGCCCCUCGUUCUUUUCACACCCCUCUCUCUCUCUCUCUCUAACAAAGAGAAGACGAAGACGAUAAUAAAAGAAACCCGGCGGGGAAUGAACCCCAAGGUUCAAACCCCUUCGUUCCCUUGCCUCUAUUCGUCCCCCUUCGUCGAUCCCAAAUCCUAGAUUCCUCGGGGUGCUUGCCAUGCCGGAUCUCGGCAACCUCCUGCUUCCCCUCCCCACGGCGCACCCCCGGCACCGCGGCGACCCUUCCUCCUCCUCCUCCACCUCUUCCUCCCCCCGUCACGAGAUCCUAGAUGCAGGGGAUGCCGGCCUCGACCGCAAGUGUAGCCGCCCGUUCAAGCAGGAGCGCAAGACAGGGAAGAAGGCAGCCGAUGGAAAGGCCUCGCUGGCCGAUCACGUGAGCGCUUGGCGGGAGAAGAAGAUGGCCGCCGGGGUUCCCGACGGGGAGUGCUUCUUUCCUUUCCUCACUAAUGCUCCAAGAAUGGUUGAUUGCCACAUGUGCAAUAGGUGUAUCUACCCUGGAGAAGAAUUGCGAUGCUCAGUUCUUGGUUGUCAAGAAGCUUACCAUUUGACAUGUGCCAACAAGCUGAUUGGACCCACCACUUCAAAACCUUUCAAGUGCCCUCAACAUGGCUGUUUUGUUUGCAAGCAGAAAGCAUAUUGGCGUUGUGUAAGAUGCACAAUGGCAGCACAUACCAAGUGUGCACCAUGGCCAGCAAAUGUCAUUUACUUCAAAAAUCGACCGGGGAGAGCCAUUUGCUGGAGACAUUCUUCUGAUUGGUGUCUUGAAAAGAAGCAUGCAGAUCUUACUAGUGAUGUUGAGGAAGCAUUUGUCCGCUUGCCUCUUCCAUAUGUUGAUGAAGAGUUUAAGAUGGGAACCAUCUUGAAAGAUGUUGUGGAGAACAAGACUGAGCCAGCUCCAUAUGUACAUAUCCGACGUAAUGUUUACUUAAUUAAGAAGAAGCGUGAUGGUGCUGAGACUGGUGUCGGAUGCAGUAACUGCGACAGCAAUUCCACAUGUAAGGAGAAUUGUGAAUGCAGGGGCCUUUCAGUGAGCUGUUCCAAGGCUUGUCGUUGUUCUGAUAUGUGCAGAAACAGACCCUUCCGCAAAGAGAAAAAGAUUAAAGUUGUUAAGACUGAAUAUUGUGGAUGGGGAGUUGUGGCUUUAGAAGUUAUGGAAAAGGGAGACUUUGUGAUAGAAUAUAUUGGAGAAGUUAUUGAUGAUGCUUUGUGUGAACAAAGGCUGUGGGAUAUGAAACAUCGAGGCGAUCAGAACUUCUACAUGUGUGAAAUACAUAAAGACUUCACAAUUGAUGCAACUUUCAAAGGGAAUGCUUCUCGAUUUCUAAACCACAAUUGUGAUCCAAAUUGUAAACUAGAGAAGUGGCAAGUCGAUGGGGAGACACGUGUUGGUGUUUUUGCUUUACGUUCAAUAGACAUUGGGGAGCCUUUAACGUAUGAUUACAGGUAUGUGAUAAAUGAAAACAUUUUAUGAAGUAAAUUCAAGGUACAGUUAUAGUGUAGAAAGAACGUAAGGCAAUAGUAGAGAGAAAAGAUGAAGGUGCAGAGAAGCUGAGUAACCAAGAAUUUUAGUUAGGGAAGAAACCUUUGCUUUUAUUCAUGUUACAUGACAGUGGAGAUCAAUGUUGUCUAAAAUGGUGUGUAUUGAUGAUUAUGUAUGUAGUAAGUUUUUGUUUUUCAAGUUACAAUCACCAACUUAGUGCCAUAGCUUAGCAGUGCCACUGAAUUUCCAUACCUAAGCCCCCUUUUCUUCUCCAGAUGUUAACCUUGCCUUCAAUCAAUCUGACAGAGACCACAACUAAUAUGCAGAUCUGGCAACCUUAGGUCAUUGUCCGGUUUUGUGAUACACGUGCACACGUGCACACAUCCACACAUUUAUGAUAUAGCAAAAAAAUUGUGAUAAUCAGUAUGCAUACAAUUUGAAGAACUGGUAUUCUCAGUAGACAUUUUGGUCUGAACUAGAUUCACACUUUUGGUUCUUGACCAACUUGAAUUUGUCCUUGUAUUGUAGUUUACACUUCUAUGAAUGUCUUGAAGUAUCAGAUGAAGGCAUAUCGUAGCAUAUUUGGUUAUGUGAGAGCUUUUUUUGAUUGUUGAAGAGUUAACCUCUUUUGCAACUUAUCUAAUAUUAACUUAUUAAUUUCAGUCAUCAGUUUUCUUCUGGUAUUGAUGUAUAUUGAUAUGUUUCUUGGGCAAAGCCGGAGUAUUUAAAUGAUAUGAGGCAGUAUUUAGGCAGCUGAGUGGCUGCCUAGUUGUAAGCUUUGGGUUGCCACCUGCAGAUCCAGCAAACAAUGGAGUUGACAAUGAUAAUGAGAAUAAUGUAUAAAGGAAUAAAUAUAAGACUAUACAUGUUUGUGAAGUGAAAGUGACUGUAACUCUGCUGCUCACUAGUCAGGUUACUUUUGCUGCCCUGUUGCAUUCAAUUCACAGGUGUGAGUGGACAAAGUAGGAAAAUUUGAGCAUUGGAGGCUUUUCAUCGGGCUCCUGGGAGCACUAGUUGAAUAGAUACGGACCUGUCCUGCCUUCAUGAAUCAAUUGUCUAACCUGGCCACUCUAAUGACUCACCAUAAAAGCUUGGGCAUGUUGGCCCGCCUAAAUUACUAUUGCAAGGGACUCACAAUGGAAACAUUCUCUAUUUUGGUAGGGUAUGGUUGAACACGUUGACCCUCAGAUAUUGCAUGAGUGAGAGUCUCAUGCACUCAGUUCACCCUCUGUUAUGCUGUAUAAUAUUGUCAAUUAGUUUCUUCUAUUUCAGGCUAUUGAAUUCAAUGAAGGUAAAAAAUUGUUUUUCAGUUCCCCAGUUGUAUUUUGCUUGUUUGUGUAAUUACACAUUUCCACCAAUAACCUCUUUGUCAAGUUCCAUUCCUAGUGUCGCACUUUGCAUGUUUAAACCAACUUAACUGCAUCUAUUGCUGCAAUUGAAGUUCUUGAGUGGUUAUCAGCACACCUUUGUCCCUUCAGUUUUAAAAAAGUGAAUUGACAAAUGUUUCUGAGUGGUUAUCAGCACGUAUUGUAAGUGUUGUUUGUUAGCCAUUUUUUUAUGGACUAUGCAGAAUAGUAAUUCUGAGAUAGAUGUUUUGUGCUUGUUUAUGUAGAUUUGUGCACUUUGGACCAAUGGUUAAAUGCCAAUGUGGAGCUUCCAAAUGCCAAGGAUAUCUGGGUAGCAAGAGAAAGUUAAACCAGAUGCCAUCCUCCUGGGGACGUAAAAGAAAGAGAUCUAUUGCCCUUCAUCAUGCCAAGUAAAUAUCAUUCAUUUUCAAGUACUAUUUGUGAUUUGUUCAUUUUUUCCUAGCUUUGGGCAGUAAAAUCUGGCACCCUUACCCUUGCCUCC